CCCUUAACAGAUCCCUCACGGUAUGGUGAGAAGCACAAGAUCCAAACACGUUCCCCCACGACUGAGCCCGCGGGUCCCAUAGCAGUUUGGGUGGCAGCGGAGCCAACUCUUCGAAGAUCCCACCAGGAUGGUAAAUAGUUGGACGACAGUCUAUCUGGUAGAAACAAACUCUUGUGCGAACCCGUCUCGAAGGCGUCGGGGACCGACCAGACUCAUCAGUGUCGCCACGUUUGGAACCAGUCGCAGUAUCGCUUUGGUCUCCCCCUCUAUCCUCACUUC
rnacentral:lncRNA from 1 species